rnacentral:rRNA from 1 species
CACUUCUAAGGAAGGCAGCAGGCGCGCAAAUUACCCAAUCCUGACUCAGGGAGGUAGUGACAAGAAAUAACAAUAAACCGGCUUAUGCCGGUUUAAUUGGAAUGAGUACAAUUUAAACAUCUUAACGAGGAACAAUUGGAGGGCAAGUCUGGUGCCAGCAGCCGCGGUAAUUCCAGCUCCAAUAGCGUAUACUAAAGUUGUUGCAGUUAAAAAGCUCGUAGUUGGAUUUCUGUGGGGACGGAGCGGCCGGCCGCACAUCGCGGUUCGAGCUAGCGCUUUCCCUACAUCCUGCCGCGAACCGUGCUACCAUUAAUUUGGUGGCGCCGGGGAUCGGCUCGAUUACUUUGAGAAAAAUAGAGUGUUCAAAGCAGGCCACAUGCCUUGAAUAAGUUAGCAUGGAAUAAUAACUAAGGACUUCGGUUCUAUUUUGUUGGUGUUCGGGACUGAAGUAAUGAUUGAUAGGGACAGUUGGGGCGGUCUGUAUUCCAAAGCGAGAGGUGAAAUUCUUAGACCUUCGGAAGACAAACAGCUGCGAAAGCGUUCCGCAAGGAUGUUCCCUUUGAUCAAGAACGAAAGUUGGGGGAUCGAAGACGAUCAGAUACCGUCGUAGUCUCAACUAUAAACUAUACCAGCUAGGGAUCGGCCAACGUUAUUUUAUACCGACUUGGUCGGCACCUUAUGAGAAAUCAAAGCAUCUGGGUUCCGGGGGGAGUAUGGUCGCAAGGCUGAAACUUAAAGGAAUUGACGGAAGGGCGCCACCAGCCGUGGAGCCUGUGGCUUAAUUUGACUCAACACGGGAAAACUUACCAGGUCCAGACAUAGUAAGGAUUGACAGAUUGAUAGCUCUUUCUUGAUUCUGUGGGUGGUGGUGCAUGGCCGUUCUUAGUUGGUGGAGUGAUUUGUCUGGUUAAUUCCGUUAACGAACGAGACCCCAGCCUGCUAAAUAGCGCGCAUGAGCUUUGCUCGUGGCGAGCUUCUUAGAGGGACUAUGAUGCGCGAUAGCACAUGGAAGUUUGGGGCAAUAACAGGUCUGUGAUGCCCUUAGAUGUUCUGGGCCGCACACGGGCUACACUGGCGCCUGCAACGAGCAUAUCAGCUGGCCCGAGAGGGUCUUGGCUAAUCUUUUGAACCGGCGCCGUGCUUGGGAUUGACCUUUGCAAUUGUUGGUCAUGCAACGAGGAAUGCCUUGUAAACGCGAGUCAUCAGCUCGCAUUGAAUACGUCCCUGCCCUUUGUACACACCGCCCGUCGCUCCUACCGAUGAAUGUUCCGAUGAAAUUUUCGGAGAGCACCUGUGAACUUGGCUCUGCCUUGCGAACGGGAGGCUCAAAGUCACUUAAAUCUGAACAUUUCGAGG